GGUUGCUGCUUCACAAACAAGGAAGUCGAUGCUCAUAUACCCAAUUACCCCAACUUGCCACCACAGUUAAUUUGUCAGCUUCACAAUGUGACUAUGCAUGACUGGAUUAAAUUACUAAAAGAAAUGGUGUUGCAAUUUCAAAGUGUGGCCAACCUUAAAGGUUCUACCAUUAUAGG